ensembl:lncRNA
AUUCAAGAUGCUAGUCAGUAGUGGAAAAAUGCAUAUAAAUGCAAAUAAAAUGUCUUGAUUAACUGGCCUACAAAGGCAAAAGACAGAUACUAAACCAAUACUAGAACUACAGUAAAGAAUUGUGUUAAUGAAUUUUGUCCAUUUCUCAGUGUGCAUUCUGAUCAGACCUUGUUUCCAUGUGUACACAUUCUACGUCAUCAUCAGCUGCCAAAGUUCAGCUUCAAUUCUCAAGAAUGCAAGUACAGAGGAUGCACAAGAUUAUCAGGGUGUGUUCUUGAUAACGAGGAAGCACUGAAUACAGACUUGAAAGAAUCGAACUGUUAGAAAUCAUUGCAGCCGGACAAUGUACAAAGUAAAUGUUUAAAUAGGUUUUGACAUUUGUGAUGUUACAUUUAUUGUGCAUUUCGUGGAGCUUUCCUACUAUUUAAAAUGUGCUGAGUCAUUUGAGCAACAAGAUCACAGCACAUCUCUCAGAAUGAUUCUAUGUCCUCGUCUUUUCAAUUUUGCUCCUUCAAGGUAGCCUGUGUUCUUGGAGAUGAGCCAAACCUGAGCGCUCAACAUUGACAAAUAUAUACUUAUGUGUUUUCUUCCUUGCAUGAAAGAAAGCAUAAAGUGGUAAAUGUGUCUGCAGUGGGUAUGGUGUUGUUAUUAUAAUUAAAGAUUUAACCAACUUAAUUAAAGAUUAAAUUAUGGACAUUGGGUAUCCUGACAAAUUUGAAUGUAUAUGUGCAUAUGAAGUCAACUGAAUUUUCGGAUUAUAAUAUAAUUGUGAUUAAUAAUGCAUUUCCUCUUGUAAGGAUUUUGUUAGGAAGAUUUCUGGCACUGGAGUCUGGAUUGGUCUGACUGAUACUGAGGUGGAAGACUCAUGGAAAUGGGUUGAUGGCACCAACAUGACCUCUGGGUUCUGGAAUCGUGGAGAACCUAUUGGAUAUUAAAAAAGAGAACUGUGUUUUCACUCAUUUUUCAGGUUGGGUCGAUCAUUCAUGGACUACAGGUUAUCAGUGGAUCUGUGAGAAGAAUUUCUAAGCUACUCUAAACCAUAUAUUGGUUAAUGCAGUUAAUUAUGAACAUUUAUCAAUGUUUUUCUUUCUUAAAAGGACCAUUCAAAAUGAAAAAUCUUUAUUAUUGCUCAUGCUUGAUCAUGGUGAUCAUCUUUUCAGCUUUGAAAUAAAGAAUGCAAAUUCUUGUCCUAUAUGUUUUUAUGACUGUAUAGAG